UACAGAGGUCUCAAGCGUUGUUCGGAUUUAUUGGGCGUAAAGGGCGCGUAGGCGGCCCGGCGCGUCCGCGGUGAAAGCUCCCGGCUCAACUGGGAGAGGUCCGCGGAAACGGUCGGGCUGGAGCAAGGUAGGGGGUCGUGGAAUUCCCGGUGUAGUGGUGGAAUGCGUAGAGAUCGGGAGGAACACCAGUGGCGAAGGCGGCGACCUGGACCUGUGCUGACGCUGAGGCGCGAAAGCGUGGGGAGCGAUCCGG
rnacentral:rRNA from 1 species